rnacentral:rRNA from 1 species
GAUGAACGCUGGCGGCGUGCCUAAUACAUGCAAGUCGAGCGAACAGACGAGGAGCUUGCUCCUCUGACGUUAGCGGCGGACGGGUGAGUAACACGUGGAUAACCUACCUAUAAGACUGGGAUAACUUCGGGAAACCGGAGCUAAUACCGGAUAAUAUAUUGAACCGCAUGGUUCAAUAGUGAAAGACGGUUUUGCUGUCACUUAUAGAUGGAUCCGCGCCGCAUUAGCUAGUUGGUAAGGUAACGGCUUACCAAGGCGACGAUGCGUAGCCGACCUGAGAGGGUGAUCGGCCACACUGAAACUGAGACACGGCCCAGACUCCUACGGGAGGCAGCAGUAGGAAAUCUUCCGCAAUGGGCGAAAGCCUGACGGAGCAACGCCGCGGGAGGAAUGAAGGCCUUCGAAUCGUAAAACUCUGUUAUUGGGGAAGAACAAAGGUGUAAGUAACUAUGCACGUCUUGCCGGUACCUAAUCAGAAGGCCACGCCUAACUACUU